rnacentral:rRNA from 1 species
GCAUAUCAAUAAGCGGAGGAAAAGAAACCAACAGGGAUUGCCCUAGUAACGGCGAGUGAAGCGGCAACAGCUCAAAUUUGAAAUCUGGCGUCUUUGGCGUCCGAGUUGUAAUUUGCAGAGGGCGCUUUGGCAUUGGCAGCGGUCCAAGUUCCUUGGAACAGGACGUCACAGAGGGUGAGAAUCCCGUACGUGGUCGCUAGCCUUUACCGUGUAAAGCCCCUUCGACGAGUCGAGUUGUUUGGGAAUGCAGCUCUAAAUGGGAGGUAAAUUUCUUCUAAAGCUAAAUACUGGCCAGAGACCGAUAGCGCACAAGUAGAGUGAUCGAAAGAUGAAAAGCACUUUGGAAAGAGAGUUAAAAAGCACGUGAAAUUGUUGAAAGGGAAGCGCUUGCAGCCAGACUUGCCUGUAGUUGCUCAUCUAGGUUUCUACCUAGUGCACUCUUCUAUAGGCAGGCCAGCAUCAGUUUGGGCGGUUGGAUAAAGGUCUCUGUCAUGUACCUCUCUUCGGGGAGAACUUAUAGGGGAGACGACAUGCAACCAGCCUGGACUGAGGUCCGCGCAUCUGCUAGGAUGCUGGCGUAAUGGCUGUAAGCGGCCCGUCUUGAAACACGGACCAAGGAGUCUAACAUCUAUGCGAGUGUUUGGGUGUCAAGCCCGAGCGCGUAAUGAAAGUGAACGGAGGUGGGAACCUUUCGGGGUGCACCAUCGACCGAUCCUGAUGUCUUCGGAUGGAUUUGAGUAAGAGCAUAGCUGUUGGGACCCGAAAGAUGGUGAACUAUGCUUGAAUAGGGUGAAGCCAGAGGAAACUCUGGUGGAGGCUCGCAGCGGUUCUGACGUGCAAAUCGAUCGUCAAAUUUGGGCAUAGGGCGAAAGACUAAUCGAACUAUCUAGUAGCUGGGUUACAUGCCGAAG